rnacentral:sRNA from 1 species
AGAAAACACAACACCUUACGACUCUAC